ensembl:lncRNA
UUUUUUUUUGUUUCUUGUUUAUUUUUAUGUGUUCUUUUUAUUUAUGCAUAAUAGAUAUAGUAAUACAUAGUUUGGGGUAUAUAUGAUAAUUUAAUACUUUCAUGUAAAUAUUACAUCAAUGUAUAUGGGAUAGCCAUCAUUUUAAAUACCUUCCUUGAUGCUAGAAAUAUUUGAAUUAUUCCCUUAUAGCUAAUGUGAAACAUAAAAUAUAUUAUUAUAAACUAUAGUCACCCUACUGACCUAUCAAACACUGGGUCUUAUUCUUUCCAUCAGGUCAUAUAUUUGUACCAAUUAAUUAACUUCUCUGCAUCCUUCCUUCCUCUCUACCCUUCCCGGCCUCUGGUAACUGCCAGUCUACUCUCUAUCUCCACGAUAUCCACUUUUUUUAGCUGAUAUAUAUGAGUGAGAACAUGUAUUAUUUGUCUUUCUGUGUUUGGCUUAUCUCAUUUGAAAUAAUGACCUCCAGUUCUAUCCAUGUUUCUGAAAACGGCAAGAUUUUUUUUAUGGCUGAAUAACAUUUCAUUGUGUAUAUAUACCACUUUUUUUUAUCCAUUCAUCCACUGAUGGGCACUUAGGUUGAUUCCAUUUUUGGUUAUUGUAAGUAGUGUUGCAAUAAACAUGAGAAUGCAGAUAUUUCCUCAAAAUGUUGAUUUACUUUCUUGUGGAUACAUACCCAGUAGUGGAAUUCCUAUAUCACAUAGUAGUUCUAUUUUAUUUUUGUGAGGAAUUUCCAUAGUUUUCUACAGUGGCUGUACUAAUUUACAUUUCCACCAACAGCGUACAAGGGUUUCCCCUCUCUCCACGUCCUUACCAGCAUCCAUUAUUGUCUUUUUGAUACGAUUCAUUUUCAUUGAAGUAAGAUGAUAUCUCAUUGUGAUUUUGAUUUGCAUUUCUCUGAUCAUUGGUGAUGUUGACCAUUUUUUCAUAUACCUGUUGGCCAUUUGAAAGUCUUCUUUUGAGACAAGUCUAAUCACAUUUUUUGUCCGUUUUCAAUUGUAUUAUUAUUAUUGCUAUUCACUUGUUUUAGCUUCUUAUAUAUUCUGGUUAUUGAUACCUUGUCAGAUGGAUAGUUUUCAAAUAUCUUCUCCCAUUCUGUGGGUUGUCUCUUUGUAGAUUGUUUCUCUUGUUGUGCAGAAGCUUUUUAACUUGAUGCAAUCCCAUUUGUCCUUUUUUGGCUUUGGUUGCCUGUGCUUUUCAAGUCUCACACAAACAGUCUUAGCCCAGAUCAAUGUCUUGGAGUGUUUACCCAGAGUUUUCUUCUACUAGUUUCAUAAUUUCAGGCCUUAGAUUUCAUACAGGUCUUUAAUACAUUUAGCUUUUUUUUUCUGUAUGGUGAUAGACAGAGAUAGGGGUCCAGUUUCAUUCUUCUGCAUAUAGUUAACCAGGUUUUUCAGCACCAUUUAUUGAAGAGACUGUCCUUUUUCCAUUAUACAUUCUUGGAAACUUUGUCAAAGACUUGUUGGCUAUAAAUGAGUGUAUUUAUAUCUGGGCUCUCUACUCUGUUCCAUUGGUCUAUGUGUCUGUUUUUAUGCCAGUACCAUGCUGAUUUGGUUACUAUAGGUUUGUGGUAAAUUUUGCAGUCAGAAAGUGUAAUGCCUCCAACUUUGUUCUUUUUUCUCAGGAUUGCUUUGGCUGUUUGGAGUCUUUUGUGGUUUCAUAUACAUUUUACCAUUGCUUUUUGUAUUUCUGUGAAGAAUGUCAUUAACAUUUUGAUAGGGAUUGCAUUGAAUCUGUACAUUUCUUUGAGUAGUAUUAUCAUUUUAACAAGAUUAAUUCUUUCAACCCAUGAACAUGGAAUAUGUUUUCAUUUUUUGUGUUCUCUUCCAUUUCUUUUGUUACUGUUUUACAGGUUUUCUUAUAUAGAUCUUUCACUUAUUCAAUUAAAUUGAUUCCUAGGUAUUUUAUAUUCUUUGUAGCUAUUGUAAAUGGGAUAUCUUUCUUGACUUAUUUUUAAGAUUGUUUGCCAUUGGCAUAUAUAAAUGCUACUAAUUUAUGUAUGUUGAUUUUGUAUCCUGCAACUUUAGUGAAUUUAUUUAUCAGUUCUAACAGUUUUUGGUGAAGUCUUUAGAUUUUUCUAAGUAUAAGGUCAUGUCAUCUGUGAACAAGGCUAAUUUAACUUCUUUUUCCCAAUUUGGAUGCUCUUUACUUUUUUCUCUUGGCUAACUGAUCUGGCUAGGACUUCUAGCAUUAUGUUAAAUAAAAGUGGUGAAAGUGGGCAUCCUUGUCUUUUUCCAGAUCUUAAAGGAAAAGCCUUCAAUUUUUUCCAUUCAGUAAAAUGUUAUCUGUGGGUUUGUCAUAUAUAGGCUUUAUUACUUUGAGGUUUGUUUCUUCUUUACUCAGUUUGAUGAGGCUUUUUAUUGUGAGAGGAUGUUGAAUCUUAUCAAAUGCUUUUUUAGCAUCUAUUGAAAUAUAUUUUUUAAAUCUUUGUCUGUUGAUGUAUCACAUCGACUGCUUUGCGUAUGUUGAACCAUCCUUGCAUCCCUGGGAUGAAUCCCACUUGAUUAUGGUGAAUGAUCUUAUUAAUGUAUGUUGAAUUCAGUUUGCUCAUAUUUUGUUGAGAAAUUUUUUGCCUCUGUGUUCAUCAGGGAUAUUGGCCUGUAGUUUUGUUCUUUUUUAGUUUUUUUUCCUUAUCAUGUCUUUGUCUGGUUUUGUCAUCAGGGCAAUGCUGGCCUCAAACGAGUUUAAAGUAUUUCCUUCUCUUCAAUUUUUUUGAAGAGUUUACUUUGAGUAGAAUUAGUGUUAUUUCUUCUUUAAAUGUUUGGUAGAAUCCAGCAGUGAAACCAUGAGGUCAUACACUUUUAUUUGAUGGGACACUUUUUAUUACAGCUUUGAUCUCAUUACUUGUUAUUGAUUUGUGGAGGUUUUUUAUUUCUUCAUGGUUCAAUCUUGGCAGGUUGUGUAUGUUCAGGAAUUUAUUAAUUUCUUCUAGCUUUUCCAAUUUGUUGGCCUACGGUUGCUCAUAAUAGCAUAACAGUCUCUAAGGAUUUUGUGUAUUUCUGAGGUCUCAGUUUUUAUGACUUUUUUCAUUUCUGAUUUUAUUUACCUGGAUUUUCUUUUUUUUAGUCUAGCUACAGUUUUGCUGAUUCCACUGUUCAAAAAACCAACUUUUUGUUUUGUUGAUUUUUUGGUAUUUUUUUUAGUUCCAAGUUCAUUUAUUUCUCCUCUGAUCUUUAUAAUUUCUUUACAUCUACUAAUUUCAGGUUUGAUUUGUUCUACCUCUCUAGUACAUUGAGGUACAUCAUUAAGUUGUUUAUUUAAAGGCUUUCUACCUUUUAGAUAUAGGCAUAAACUGCUAUAAACUUUCCUCUUAACACUGCUUUUUCUGUAUCCCAUAGAUUUUGUAUGCUUUAUUUCCAUUUGCAUUUGUUUCAAUAAAUUUUUAAAUUUCCUUCUUAAUUUCUGUAUUGAGCCAUUGGUUGUUUAGGAGCAUGUUGUUCAAUGUACACGUUUGUGUAGUUUCCAAAAUUCCUCGUUAAUUGAUUUCUUGUUUUAUUCCAUUGUGGUUUCUACUUUUUUGGAUUUGUUGAGGCUUGUUUAAUGGUUGAAGAUAUGGUUUAUUCCAGAGAAUAUUUUAUGUGCUGAUGAAAAGGAUGUGUAUUCUGCAGCAGUCGGGUGAAAUGUUUUGUAAAUAUCAGUUAGGCCUAUUAGGUUUAGUGUGUAGUUAAACUCUGAUGGUUGAGUUUUUAAAAAUGUUUUGUCUGAAUGAUCUGCCCAUUACUACAGUGGUGUGUUAAAGUCCCCUCCUUCUACUGUAUCACAGUCUAUUUCUCCCUUUAGAUGUAUUAGUGUUUUUUAAAUUUUUAAUUUUUAUGAGUACAUAGUAGGUAUGUAUAUUUAUGGGGUACAUAAGAUAUUUUGAUACAGGCUAUUAUUAAUAUUUUUAUAUAUGCUUGGGCUUUAUUGAUGGGUACAUAGAUAUUUAUAAUUGUAUUUUCUUGGUGAAUUGACCCCUUUAUCAUUAUAUAGUGAACUCCCUUGCUUCUUUUCACAGUCUUUGAUUUGUGGUCUAUUUAUCUGAUAUAGUAUAGAUACUUCUGCCUUUUUUUGAUUUCCAGUUGCCUGGAAUAUCUUCUUCUAUCCCUUCACUUUCAGUCUAUGUGUGCCUUUAUAGAUGAAGUGAGUUUUUUUGAAGGCAGCAUAUACUUGGGUCUUGUUUUAUCCCUUCAGCCACUCUAUGCCUUUUAACUGGAUAAUUCAUUCUAUUUACAUUAUUGAUAAGUAAGAACUUACUACUGCCAUUUUGUUGCUUAGUUUCUGUUUGUUUUCUAAUUCCUUUCUUUCUUUUUUUUCUUCUUACUCUUUUCCUUUAUGGUUAAGUAAUUUUUUUCCCUGGCAGUAUGUUUUCAUUCAUUGCUCUUUAUUUUUAGUGACUCUAUUAUAGGUUUUUAUGUUAUGAGUACCAUGAGGCUUACCAAAAAAUGUUCAUAUAUAUAACAAGUUAUUUUUAAAGCGUCGACAACUUAUCUUAGAUCACACAAAAAAUAGAAACAAAGAAUAGAAACAAAAAAAAUCUACAGUGUAACUUCAUUCCCCCACAUUUUGACUCUUCUUUGUCUCAAUUUACAUAUUUUUGUAUUGUCUAUCUCUUAACUGGUUGCUAUAGCUAUUAUUGUUUUUGAUAUAUUUGUCUUUUGAGUUUCAUACUAGAGUUAUAAGUGAAUUGCACACUAUAGUUACAGUAUUAGAGUAUUCUGGAUUUUUACGUGUAAUUAAUUUUACCCAUGGGUUUUAUAUCUUCAAAUUUUAUUUUUGUUUUUCUUUUCUUUUUGUACAUGAAUUUUUUUGUUUUCUUUCAGGUUGAAGAAAUCCC